rnacentral:lncRNA from 1 species
UCAAGCAAUGUUCAAAACUCAGUAAAUAAACAAGCAUACUCCAACAACGUAGCUAGAUUAAGCGAUGUCCGAAAUGCUAUCAACAAUCAAGCUUUCUCAAACAAAGUUUCAAAGGUCUCAGAUGUUCGCUCAUCAGUUGAUAACCAAGCCUUAUUAUCAAAUGUUGCUAACACCCUCAAAGCCAUCCGAUCAAGCAAUGUCUUGAACUCAGUCAACAACCAAGCUUCUUCAGUCAAUGUUGCCAACAGUAACAUCCGAUCAAGCGCAGUAAACAACAAAGCCUCAACCGCCUCAACUAAUAACCAAGCAUACUCCAACAAUGUUUCAAAGGUCUCAGAUGUCCGAAGCUCAGUUAAUAACCAAGCUUCAUCAUCAAAUGUUGCUAAUUCCAGCAAUGUUAACCGAUCAAGCAAUAUCCAAAGCUCAGUCAAUAAGCAAGCUUCUUCAUCAAACGUUGCAAACUCAAGCAACGUCAACCGAUCAAGCAAUGUUCAAAACUCAGUAAAUAAACAAGCAUACUCCAACAACGUAGCUAGAUUAAGCGAUGUCCGAAAUGCUAUCAACAAUCAAGCUUUCUCAAACAAAGUUUCAAAGGUAUCAGAUGCUCUAAGCUCAGUUAAUAGCAAAAUCAGCUCAUCAAACAUUGCUAACUCCAGCAAUGUUAACCGAUCAAUUAAUGUCUCAAGCUCAGUCAAUAAGCAAGCUUCUUCAUCAAACGUUGCAAACUCAAGCAACGUCAACCGAUCAAGCAAUGUUCAAAACUCAGU